rnacentral:rRNA from 1 species
UAAACUGGGGGGCACCCUGACCGAGCACGCCGCGUGAGUGAAGAAGGUUUUCGGAUCGUAAAGCUCUGUUGUAAGUCAAGAACGGGUGUGAGAGUGGAAAGUUCACACUGUGACGGUAGCUUACCAGAAAGGGACGGCUAACUACGUGCCAGCAGCCGCGGUAAUACGUAGGUCCCGAGCGUUGUCCGGAUUUAUUGGGCGUAAAGCGAGCGCAGGCGGUUUGAUAAGUCUGAAGUUAAAGGCUGUGGCUCAACCAUAGUUCGCUUUGGAAACUGUCAAACUUGAGUGCAGAAGGGGAGAGUGGAAUUCCAUGUGUAGCGGUGAAAUGCGUAGAUAUAUGGAGGAACACCGGUGGCGAAAGCGGCUCUCUGGUCUGUAACUGACGCUGAGGCUCGAAAGCGUGGGGAGCGAACAGGAUUAGAUACCUGGGGUAGU